rnacentral:misc_RNA from 1 species
GAUGAAGAACGUAGCGAAAUGCGAUAAGUAAUGUGAAUUGCAGAUUUCAGUGAAUCAUCGAAUCUUUGAACGCACAUUGCGCCCUCUGGUAUUCCGGGGGGCAUGCCUGUUCGAGCGUCAUUAUAACCACUCAAGCUCUCGCUUGGUAUUGGAGUUCGCGAUCUCGCGGCUCCUAAAAUCAGUGGCGGUGCCUGUCGGCUCUACGCGUAGUAAUACUCCUCGCGAUUGAGUCCGGUAGGUUUACUUGCCAGCAACCCCCAAUUUUUACAGGUUGACCUCGGAUCAGGUAGGGAUACCCGCUGAACUUAAGCAUAUCAAUAGCGGAGGA